rnacentral:miRNA from 12 species
ACUGCAUUCGAGUGUGUGGGUAGA